rnacentral:rRNA from 1 species
CUCCAUGUGUAGCGGUGAAAUGCGUAGAUAUAUGGAAGAACACCAGUGGCGAAGGCGGCUAUCUGGUCUGUUACUGACACUGAGGCUCGAAAGCAUGGGUAGCGAACAGGAUUAGAUACCCUGGUAGUCCAUGCCGUAAACGAUGAAUACUAGGUGUUGGAGGGUUUCCGCCCUUCAGUGCCGCAGCUAACGCAUUAAGUAUUCCGCCUGGGGAGUACGACCGCAAGGUUGAAACUCAAAGGAAUUGACGGGGGCCCGCACAAGUGGUGGAGCAUGUGGUUUAAUUCGAGCUACGCGAAGAACCUUACCAGGUCUUGACAUCUUCUGCCAACCUAAGAGAUUAGGCGUUCCUUCGGGGACAGAAUGACAGGUGGUGCAUGGUUGUCGUCAGCUCGUGUCGUGAGAUGUUGGGUUAAGUCCCGCAACGAGCGCAACCCUUAUUAUUAGUUGCCAGCAUUAAGUUGGGCACUCUAGUGAGACUGCCGGUGAUAAACCGGAGGAAGGUGGGGAUGACGUCAAAUCAUCAUGCCCCUUAUGACCUGGGCUACACACGUGCUACAAUGGAUGGUACAACGAGUUGCGAAACCGCGAGGUCAAGCUAAUCUCUUAAAGCCAUUCUCAGUUCGGAUUGCAGGCUGCAACUCGCCUGCAUGAAGUUGGAAUCACUAGUAAUCGUGGAUCAGCAUGCCACGGUGAAUACGUUCCCGGGCCUUGUACACACCGCCCGUCACACCAUGAGAGUUUGUAACACCCAAAGACGAUGGAGUAACCUUCGGGAGCUAGUUGUCUAAGGUGGGACAGAUGAUUAGGGUGAAGUCGUAACAAGGUAGCCGUAGGAGAACCUGCGGCUG